GAGUGGGGUGGGGAAGGGACCUGGGGGCCGUAACAACGGUAAGAGCCACCAUUUUGAACCCACUAGAACCCGAACCCAUAGAUAAAACACUACAAACGAACUGGUCCCAGCUGGUUACGUGAGCGCGAGCGAGACGGCAAGCCAGGGGCGGCGAGUAAACGACAAAUAUAAAUAAUUUGCGAUGAAUAAGCACAUUGAACAAAGGCCUCCAG